UGAACGGCGGCCGUAACUAUAACGGUCCUAAGGUAGCGAAAUUCCUUGUCAGGUAAGUUCUGACCCGCAUGAAAGGCGUAAUGAUUUGGGCACUGUCUCAACAGCCCGCCCGGCGAAAUUGUAGUACCGGUGAAGAUGCCGGUUACCCGCGACAAGACGGAAAGACCCCAUGGAGCUUUACUGUAGCCUAAUAUUGGGUUUCGAUGUUGCAUGCACAGGAUAGAUGGGACUCUUGGAAACCAAGGCUUUGGCUUUGGCGGAGAGGCCGUUGGGAUACCAUCCUUGCGAUAUUGGAAUUCUAACCUGCGGCUCUGAAUCGAGUCGGGGGACAUUGUUAGGUGGGCAGUUUGACUGGGGCGGUCGCCUCCUAAAGAGUAACGGAGGCGUUCAAAGGUUCGCUCAGCUUGAACGGAAAUCAAGCAAAAGAGUGCAAACGCAGAAGCGAGCCUAACUGCGAGACUGACGGGUCGAGCAGUAACGAAAGUUGGAGUUAGUGAUCCGGUGGUAUGUGAGUGGAAAUGCCAUCGCUCAACGGAUAAAAGUUACCCUGGGGAUAACAGGCUGAUCUCCCCCAAGAGUCCACAUCGACGGGGAGGUUUGGCACCUCGAUGUCGGCUCAUCGCAUCCUGGGGCUGUAUUCGGUCCCAAGGGUUUGGCUGUUCGCCAAUUAAAGCGGUACGCGAGCUGGGUUCAGAACGUCGUGAGACAGUUCGGUCCCUAUCUGUCGUGGGCGCAGGAUAUUUGAUGGGAGCUGUCCCUAGUACGAGAGGACCGGGACGGACGUACCUCUGGCGCACCAGUUGUUCCGCCAGGAGCAUAGCUGGGCAACUACGUACGGAUCGGAUAAACGCUGAAAGCAUCUAAGCGUGAAGCCGACCCAAAGAUAAGAUAUCCCACUGAUUCAAUCAGGUAAGAUCCCUUGUAGACUACGAGGUUGAUAGGCACGAUGUGUAAGUGGAGUGAUCCAUUCAGCAAGUGUGUACUAAUAGAUCGAGGGCUUGACCAC
rnacentral:rRNA from 1 species